rnacentral:rRNA from 1 species
UACGUAGGGUGCGAGCGUUGUCCGGAAUUACUGGGCGUAAAGAGCUCGUAGGUGGUUUGUCGUGUUGUUCGUGAAAACUCACAACUCAAUUGUGGGCGUGCGGGCGAUACGGGCAGACUGGAGUACUGCAGGGGAGACUGGAAUUCCUGGUGUAGCGGUGGAAUGCGCAGAUAUCAGGAGGAACACCGGUGGCGAAGGCGGGUCUCUGGACAGUUCCUGACGCUGAGGCACGAAGGUCAGGGGAGCAAACGGG